GUUUUAACUGUGGCAUGACAAUGGAGUCCAGCUGUAGAAGAUAUUUAUACUGUUCAGUAAACUCAGAGUGUAGAUUAUACCAGGCUGGUACAGAUUGUAUAAAGUUUGGUGAUACUACUGGUUGUUCUUGUUAUAGAAAGGAUAUUGGUCAAACCGCAUCAUCGACGGUAACAUGUCCGUUGGGAUUUUAUGGUGAAACUUGCCAACAUGUAAUAACAGCGUAAAACAACAAACACAAGAGAAUUAUACAAAGGACAUAAACGGACUUGAUCAGUUCAUGACACAAAUACAGUGGAACAGUUCCACCAACACGCAUUCAAUUGCUAAUCAAUCGAAUCAUUCUGGUAUCUGGAAUCUUAAAGGACAAUAUUGGUGCCAGUCAUUAUCACAUAUGUGAUAGAACUGGUUAAACACGUUCCAAAUAGUAUUUUAUC